CCUACGGGUGGCAGCAGUGAGGAAUAUUGGUCAAUGGACGAGAGUCUGAACCAGCCAAGUAGCGUGAAGGAUGACUGCCCUAUGGGUUGUAAACUUCUUUUAUAUGGGAAUAAAAUGUUCCACGUGUGGGCUUUUGUAUGUACCAUAUGAAUAAGGCUCGGCUAACUCCGUGCCAGCAGCCGCGGUAAUACGGAGGAUCCGAGCUUUAUCCGGGUUUAUUGGGUUUAAAGGGAGCGUAGGUGGAUUGUUAAGUCAGUUGUGAAAGUUUGCGGCUCAACCGUAAAAUUGCAGUUGAAACUGGCAGUCUUGAGUACAUGAGAGGUGGGCGGAAUUCGUGGUGUAGCGGUGAAAUGCUUAGAUAUCACGAAGAACUCCGAUUGCGAAGGCAGCUCACUGGACUGCAACUGACACUGAGGCUCGAAAGUGUGGGUAUCAAACAGGAUUAGAUACCCCAGUAGUC
rnacentral:rRNA from 1 species